rnacentral:lncRNA from 1 species
AUUUAACACCAUUCAACCAUAAAAACUUGAUGACAGUUUUUCACUAACCUGCAAUCAAAAUAUUUUCUUGAAAAAGAAAAAUCAGAAAGAUAUUCCAAGAAAAGCAUUGAUGUUUGGAGAGUCAUAUUCAAGAUUGAGUAAUACACACAAAUCACAUAUAAAGAGUAAAUGAAGAAANCAUAUAAAGAGUAAAUGAGAAACCGAAUAUAAAGAAAGAAUAGAAAAGCUUCAUUUGUUUUGGUUGAAAGAAAAAAUCAAAUUACAAUUACCAUCGAUGCGACAUAACCCAUUUCUUCAAAUCAUCAUAUUUGGAUCGUGAAUGCUUCAACUAUAUGAAAACCGUUGAAUCACAAUAUCUUCAAAUCCUUCUUACAUGUAAGAUUUUAUAUAACACAAAAGACACAAAAAAAUUGGCCUUUUUAUAGUAUUUUUUCCACUGAGUGCUAAUUAAACAUAAUGUAAGUUAUAAAACUUUUGAGUGUUAAAUCAUAAUUAAUAAAACUUUUGAGUUGCAUUAGUUAAAAAAGGGGGUUUCAAAUAAAUGUGGUUUGAGAAAGUUAAAAAAAUGGGGUUUCAAAUGCAUGACAUUCAAGAAAAAAUGCUAGCUUUAUAAGUAUGAAUCCACGCGCGUUGCACGAGAAUAGAAUUACAUAGUUAAAAUAAUAACUUUUACGAAAUUAUUAUUUAAUAUUUCAACUUUCAAACAAAAUGUUAGUAGUAAAACAAACAUAUAGUUAACAUAUUAGUUUUAUUAUAGAUUAUAGUUUAACAUUUAAGUCAUUGUGAUAUAUACAAUUAUUUGAUAAUUUUAUAAACCAUUUAAAAUUGUGUAAAUUAUAUAUCAAAUUAAUGAUAAUAUAACGGGUAACAAAACGUAUGAACAAAAAUAUGAACUGCAACUUUUAGUAACAUAAAAAUAGAAAAACAUCUAUUAUAACAUUGUAUUAGAAAAGAUAUAUAUACAACGAAUAAUAAAAAAAUAUGAAAAAUAAACAUUAUAACUUUUAAUAACAUAAAAACACUAAAACAUCUAUUAUAACAUUUAUAUUAACUUUUCAUAUUUAAAUCGAAAAUCUCUUCAAUUACAUUAAUGAUUUUAAUGAGCAAAACUUUAUAACCAUAUAAGAAAG